UACGAAGGGGGCUAGCGUUGUUCGGAAUCACUGGGCGUAAAGCGCACGUAGGCGGAUGUGCCAGUCAGGGGUGAAAUCCCGGAGCUCAACUUCGGAACUGCCUCUGAUACAGCACGUCUUGAAUACUUUGGAGGUAAGCGGAAUAUGUCAUGUAGCGGUGAAAUGCUUAGAUAUGACAUAGAACACCAAUUGCGCAGGCAGCUUACUACACAGUAAUUGACACUGAGGCACGAAAGCGUGGGGAUCAA
rnacentral:rRNA from 1 species